GCACGGGCUUAGCCGGGCGGUUACUUCGCACAAAGAAUUUAAGUUCAUUAAUAAACCUUACUGCCCAUUGACCGUUGGCGCCAUCCAGUGCUUUU
rnacentral:vault_RNA from 1 species